rnacentral:rRNA from 1 species
CAAUAGCGUAUAUUAAAGUUGUUGCAGUUAAAAAGCUCGUAGUUGAAUUUCUGGUGGGCGCGCCGGUCUUCCAAGUGUUGUGCUGGGCGCAGUCCGCCAUCCUUGUGGAGAGGGCUCGCAUUGAGUUGCGUGUCGGAUCUGCAUCAUUUACUGUGAAAAAAUUAGAGUGUUUAAAGCAGGCUGUCGCUUGAAUACAUUAGCAUGGAAUAAUAAGAUAGGACUUCGGUCUAUUUUGUUGGUUGCGAACCGAGGUAAUGAUUAAUAGGGAUAGUUGGGGGUAUUCAUAUUUAAUUGUCAGAGGUGAAAUUCUUGGAUUUAUGAAAGAUGAACAACUGCGAAAGCAUUUACCAAGGAUGUUUUCAUUAA